UACGUAGGGGGCAAGCGUUGUCCGGAUUUAUUGGGUGUAAAGAGCGUGUAGGCGGUUUGGUAGGUCCGUUGUGAAAACUCGAGGCUCAACCUCGAGACGCCGAUGGAAACCAUCAGACUAGAGUCCGGAAGAGGAGAGUGGAAUUCCUGGUGUAGCGGUGAAAUGCGCAGAUAUCAGGAAGAACACCCGUGGCUAAGGCGGCUCUCUAGUACGGUACUGACGCUGAGACGCGAAAGCGUGGGGAGCGAACAGG
rnacentral:rRNA from 1 species